rnacentral:lncRNA from 10 species
CUCUCUCCCCCAUUCUUCUAGAGCCCAGCCAGCCUCCAUGGGCCACCAACUACAUCCUCCAUGGAGAAUCUUCAAAGCUCUAGAGCCCCUAUUCCCAAACCAUUUCCUGUCUUUUUUAUUACAUGGACUUACUCCAAAAAGGAGCGAAAGAACUUGUACAUGUUUCCAUUCUGAUCAGUUCUUUCUGGAUUUUCCGGGCAUUUUUGUUACCAGGUGUCUGAAAGAUCCUGAGUGCUAUGAACUGGCUUUCACAUCUGCGACCUGCUGUAGCCCUCCCACAACACUGGGCCCAGGGGUGUUGAUUUUCUUUUACAAAUGGGGCAACUAAGGCAUGUUAACAGCUGAGCCUAGGUUUGAACCUGGUUCCCCCUGUGCUGGUGCAGAGCUGUUUCCCCUGGGAUAUAUGUCUCCAGUGUCACUGCCCUUCCACUGGGUUUCCUGCUUUUACCUAACAUCGACUCACACGGUCAUUUUCGGGGUGGCAGGGCCUCCUGUCUUGUCGUUUUAAUGGCCACAUGGCAUUCCAUCAUGUUGAUGGAUCAUUUUGUUUGGUCACUCCCUCAUCGUUGGAUAUGUGUGAGGUGUCUAAUUUCUUGCUAUAAUAAAUGCAACUGCUGUAUUUUGUUCAAA